rnacentral:rRNA from 1 species
CCUACGGGUGGCUGCAGUGGGGAAUAUUGGACAAUGGGGGCAACCCUGAUCCAGCCAUGCCGCGUGUGUGAAGACGGCCCUCGGGUUGUAAAGCACUUUCAGUGAGGAAGAACGCCUGGUGGUUAAUACCCAUCAGGAAAGACAUCACUCACAGAAAAAGCACCAGCUAACUCCGUGCCAGCAGCCGCGGUAAUACGGAGGGUGCGAGCGUUAAUCGGAAUUACUGGGCGUAAAGCGCGCGUAGGUGGCUUGAUAAGCCGGUUGUGAAAGCCCCGGGCUCAACCUGGGAACGGCAUCCGGAACUGUCAAGCUAGAGUGCAGGAGAGGAAGGUAGAAUUCCCGGUGUAGCGGUGAAAUGCGUAGAGAUCGGGAGGAAUACCAGUGGCGAAGGCGGCCUUCUGGACUGACACUGACACUGAGGUGCGAAAGCGUGGGUAACAAACAGGAUUAGAUACCCUGGUAGUC